rnacentral:rRNA from 1 species
GACGUAGGGCGCGAGCGUUGUCCGGAUUUAUUGGGCGUAAAGAGCUCGUAGGCGGCUUGUCGCGUCGACUGUGAAAACCCGCGGCUCAACCGCGGCCUGCAGCCGAUACGGGCAGGCUAGAGUUCGGUAGGGGAGACUGGAAUUCCUGGUGUAGGCGGUGAAAUGCGCAGAUAUCAGGAGGAACACCGGUGGCGAAGGCGGGUCUCUGGGCCGAUACUGACGCUGAGGAGCGAAAGCGUGGGGAGCGAACAGG